rnacentral:rRNA from 1 species
CCUACGGGUGGCAGCAGUGAGGAAUAUUGGUCAAUGGACGAGAGUCUGAACCAGCCAAGUAGCGUGAAGGAUGACUGCCCUAUGGGUUGUAAACUUCUUUUAUAUGGGAAUAAAACGUUCCACGUGUGGGAUUUUGUAUGUACCAUAUGAAUAAGGAUCGGCUAACUCCGUGCCAGCAGCCGCGGUAAUACGGAGGAUCCGAGCGUUAUCUGGAUUUAUUGGGUUUAAAGGGAGCGUAGGUGGAUUGUUAAGUCAGUUGUGAAAGUUUGCGGCUCAACCGUAAAAUUGCAGUUGAAACUGGCAGUCUUGAGUACAGUAGAGGUGUGCGGAAUUCGUGGUGUAGCGGUGAAAUGCUUAGAUAUCACGAAGAACUCCGAUUGCGAAGGCAGUUCACUGGACUGCAACUGACACUGAGGCUCGAAAGUGUGGGUAUCAAACAGGAUUAGAUACCCGAGUAGUC